UACGAAGGGGGCUAGCGUUGCUCGGAAUCACUGGGCGUAAAGGGCACGUAGGCGGGUGCUCAAGUCCGUGGUGAAAUCCUCCGGCUCAACCGGAGAACUGCCUCGGAUACUGGGCGUCUCGAGUGUGGUAGGGGUAUGCGGAACUAUCGGUGGAGCGGUGAAAUGCGUUGAUAUCGAUAGGAACUCCGGUGGCGAAGGCGGCAUACUGGACCACCACUGACGCUGAUGCGCGAAAGCCAGGGGAGCAAGCGGG
rnacentral:rRNA from 1 species